AACGAACGCUGGCGGCAGGCCUAACACAUGCAAGUCGAACGCCCCAGCAAUAGGGAGUGGCAGACGGGUGAGUAACGCGUGGGAACCUUCCCUAUAGUACGGAAUAUACCAGGGAAACUUGGAGCAAUACCGUAUACGCCCGAAAGGGGAAAGAUUUAUCGCUAUAGGAUGGGCCCGCGUUGGAUUUGCUAGUUGGUGAGGUAAUGGCUCACCAAGGCGACGAUCCAUAGCUGGUCUGAGAGGAUGAUCAGCCACACUGGGACUGAGACACGGCCCAGACUCCUACGGGAGGCAGCAGUGGGGAAUAUUGGGCAAUGGGCGAAAGCCUGACCCAGCCAUGCCGCGUGAGUGACGAAGGCCUUAGGGUUGUAAAGCUCUUUUGGCGGGGACGAUAAUGACGGUACCCGCAGAAUAAGCCCCGGCUAACUUCGUGCCAGCAGCCGCCGUAAUAC
rnacentral:rRNA from 1 species